UGAACCCUGCACUGAUUGCUGGAGGCCUGAACCUGCCUGUGGUGCCUGGUGGUGGGGCAGGUUUCGUUGGACAGCCACAGUUUGUGCAGGUUGUUCCUAGAGUCCCUGCUUUUGCUCUGCCGGCCCCUGUUCCUAAUGUAUACCCUGUUCCUGCAGUCAACACGCUUCCUUUCGCUGGAUUCCCUCAAAUGGCCGCUAUGAAUCCUCCUCAGCAGCCUCAGAUGGGGUUUCCAGGUGUUGCCAUGCAACAGCAGCUUCCCCCACAGCCUGAUCCUCUCAGAAGAUUCAGGCGUCAGAUUAUGAAACAGGGCAACAACAUGAAGAUCACUAUGGAUACUCAGAUUCCAGCUCCUACUGACAGCACAACAACUACUCUGUGUGAUGAAGAUGGUCAACAUGUGGAUAAUUAACUAAUAAUUAUUAUGAC